GAAAAUAUAAAAAAGAAAUUAAUUCUAAAAGUCUAUUUUUCUAAAAAAGAUACAAUAUAUGAAUAAAAUUUU
rnacentral:tRNA from 1 species